UGGGGAAUUUUGGACAAUGGGCGCAAGCCCGAUCCAGCAAUGCCGCGUGCAGGAUGAAGGCCUUCGGGUUGUAAACUGCUCUUGUACGGAGCGAAAAGGUCUGCCCUAAUACGGUGGGCUCAUGACGGUACCGUAAGAAUAAGCACCGGCUAACUACGUGCCAGCAGCCGCGGUAAUACGUAGGGUGCGAGCGUUAAUCGGAAUUACUGGGCGUAAAGCGUGCGCAGGCGGUUAUAUAAGACAGAUGUGAAAUCCCCGGGCUCAACCUGGGACCUGCAUUUGUGACUGUAUAGCUAGAGUACGGUAGAGGGGGAUGGAAUGCUGCGUGUAGCAAUGGAAUGCGUAGAUAUGCGGAGGAACACCGAUAGCGAAGGCAAUCCCCUAGACCUGUACUGACGCGCAUGAACGAGAGCGUGGGAAGCAAGCA
rnacentral:rRNA from 1 species